GGAGUUAAGAAAUGUAGACUCGCUAACAUCGGGUCUAUUUGACAAAGGCUCCAAAGGAAGCCACGGCUAACUCUGUGCCAGCAGCCGCGGUAAUACAGAGGUGGCAAGCGUUGUUCGGAAUUAUUGGGCGUAAAGAGCACGUAGGUGGAUUUGUAAGUCAGACGUGAAAGCCUUCUGUUCAACGGAAGAAUUGCAUCUGAAACUACAAACCUUGAGUGUAGGAGGGGAGAGUGGAACUUCUG
rnacentral:rRNA from 1 species